UUUUGGAUAAAAAAUGUAAUUUUAAAUGAGUUUUGUACUAGAGAUUUUCAUUUUUCGUCACAUCACCAAUCCUUGUCAUUGACAGAAAAAUUAGUAUGAAAAUGGGUAGGGCUCAUUUUUAAAUAGUUCAAUUGCUCUUUGUAGUCAUUUAGCAGGAAACAUCAUGGAAGAAGGCUUCAGUCUCUGCCUCCUCAUCCCCAUUUCUUUUCAAUUCUUUCUUGCGAAGCGGAAUUCUGAACUCUUCAAACUCAUAACAAGGUAGCAAUUGAAAUCCUUUUUCUGGCCGGGUCUACAGCUUUUGCUUUUAUCGUUCACUUCCUUUGGUUGGUUUGGCUAUUUUGGAGAAGAUUGUCAUUGUACUGCAUCUCCCCAUAGAAGUGUGCUUCGGCUUCAAUUGUGCAAAACAUUGCCCUCCCCACUAUUGGAACCUCUAACCUCAAAGAGAAAAAAGAAUGGAAUACAUGUCAGCUCAAUUAAUUAAUUGAGGUAUGCCUACCCACUUUUAGUCUUAGAUAAUAAUUAUUAUUUAGUUAGAUGGUGUGGUUAAUUUCAUAAGAAUGCAUCACUUACCUAUUAUACAUGUCUAUAAAUCAUUAAUAUUUGAACAUAGUUCAGCUAGCUUUGGUAUGAGGUUUGAAUUUCCCCCUCUACAUCUUGAAUUAAAGAAUAAAGAAUCAAUAAUAUAUGCACAUACAGUAUCAAGCUUUUUCUCUUCUAAAAACUCCCUGCUAGUUCUUUUCUUGAGAGAAGUUCUUUUUUUUUUUUUUUUUUUUUUUUUUUUUUUUUAAAAAAAAUUUUCUGAGCAUUCUUAAUGCUAAGAUUUAGAUUGUGAUUUAGGAUGGGGGCAACAAACUGAAGUGCUGGAGUCUCCCUCCCUUUGACAUGCAAACGUGUUGCCAUCUUAACAUGCCUUUGAAAGUUCCACACAAUAGUGAACAUGAAAUGCCUACAUUUUCUCUCUCUCUCUCUCUAUGUAUAUAUUUCCAGUUGUUUCAUCUUGACAUGCCCACACACACACGCAUGCACACCUCAUACCUAUAUAUAUGUAUAUAUAUUUCUGUUGCAUGCUAAUUUUGUUUUUCAAAAUUUUCUCAUUUUCAAUAAGUAGUCCAAUAGCUAUGGGACGAGAAAUCAAACAUUGGUUUUAUGGAGAUGAAGGUAAUGCCAAUUACAGUUGAGUCAAAUUUAUCUCGACAAUAUGUUGAUACAUAUAUAAGAAAGACUGUAUGUUAAUACUUGUAAAAGAACGAUGAAUGCAAACACUUGAAAGAAUAUUUUUUUUAUAAAGUGACCUAUUGAUAUUCCAA